rnacentral:rRNA from 1 species
CCUACGGGAUGCAGCAGUGGGGAAUAUUGCACAAUGGGGGAAACCCUGAUGCAGCAACGCCGCGUGAAUGAUGAAGGCCUUCGGGUCGUAAAGUUCUUUGAUUGGGGACGAUAAUGACGGUACCCAAAAAACAAGCCACGGCUAACUACGUGCCAGCAGCCGCGGUAAUACGUAGGUGGCGAGCGUUGUCCGGAUUUACUGGGCGUAAAGGAUGCGUAGGUGGAAACUUAAGUGGGAUGUGAAAUCCCCGGGCUCAACCCGGGAACUGCAUUCCAAACUGGGUUACUUGAGUGCAGGAGAG